AGGGACUUGCAGUGGAUGGCAAUAAGGAAUAAUAGUCACCCAGGUGGUGUAUGGCCAAUCAAACCGCAUAAGGUGUGAGAUCAUCAAGGCAAUGAAGUGUUGGUCUCCACACACGUUGGGCUCUGGUGCUGGUAGUCCUGACUACAUUCUGUCACCACCACAGUGCUCCAGAGGGAUUGAGAGACUCAAGCCCUUCCUUUGCUCACUCCCCAAAAGAAGAAAACAGACACUGGAUGUCACUGACGAUAUCUCUUAAAGACUCAGGAAAGAGUGACUCGUUCACAGUUGCCAGGAAAUUAGUGGUUGUUCUCACUUGAUGAUGAAGGACGGCCAUUUCCAACUCUACUGUCUUCCAGAGUACAGCUACAUGCAGAAGAUUAGUGUACUCAUUAAAUGUAAAUGAAUCAAAAUUCAAGCUUUUCCAAUUC
rnacentral:lncRNA from 1 species